rnacentral:rRNA from 1 species
CCUACGGGAGGCAGCAGUGGGGAAUAUUGGGCAAUGGGCGCAAGCCUGACCCAGCAACGCCGCGUGAAGGAAGAAGGCUUUCGGGUUGUAAACUUCUUUUCUCAGGGACGAAGAAAGUGACGGUACCUGAGGAAUAAGCCACGGCUAACUACGUGCCAGCAGCCGCGGUAAUACGUAGGUGGCAAGCGUUAUCCGGAUUUACUGGGUGUAAAGGGCGUGUAGGCGGGAAAGCAAGUCAGAUGUGAAAACCCUGGGCUCAACCUGUGGCCUGCAUUUGAAACUGUUUUUCUUGAGUGCUGGAGAGGCAGACGGAAUUCCGGGUGUAGCGGUGAAAUGCGUAGAUAUUAGGAGGAACACCAGUGGCGAAGGCGGACUGCUGGACAGCAACUGACGCUGAGGCGCGAAAGCGUGGGGAGCAAACAGGAUUAGAUACCCCAGUAGUC